rnacentral:rRNA from 1 species
AUUGAACGCGGGCGGCAUGCUUUACACAUGCAAGUCGGACGGCAGCGGGGUAGUGCUUGCACUACGCCGGCGAGUGGCGAACGGGUGAGUAAUAUAUUGGAACGUACCGAGUAAUGGGGGAUAACCAAUCGAAAGAUUGGCUAAUACCGCAUACGCUCUGAGGAGGAAAGCAGGGGACCUUCGGGCCUUGCGUUAUUCGAGCGGCCAAUAUCUGAUUAGCUAGUUGGUGGGGUAAAGGCCUACCAAGGCGACGAUCAGUAGCGGGUCUGAGAGGAUGAUCCGCCACACUGGGACUGAGACACGGCCCAGACUCCUACGGGAGGCAGCAGUGGGGAAUUUUGGACAAUGGGCGCAAGCCUGAUCCAGCCAUGCCGCGUGUCUGAAGAAGGCCUUCGGGUUGUAAAGGACUUUUGUUAGGGAAGAAAAAGGAGCGGUUAAUACCCGUUUCUGCUGACG